rnacentral:misc_RNA from 1 species
AACGGUCUAUACCUGCGGUACCUGCGGAGGGAUCAUUAUCAAUUUACAGCGGACUUCGGUCCUGUCUGCACCCUUGUCUUUUGCGUACUAUAUGUUUCCUCGGUGGGCUUGCCUGCCGAUAGGACACUUAUAAACUCUUUUGUAAUUGCAAUCAGCGUCAGAAAACUAUAAUAGUUACAACUUUCAACAAUGGAUCUCU